CCUACGGGAUGCAGCAGUGAGGAAUAUUGGUCAAUGGGCGUGAGCCUGAACCAGCCAAGUCGCGUGAAGGAUGACGGCCCUAUGGGUUUUAAACUUCUUUUAUAAGGGAAUAAAGGUAUCCACGUGUGGGGAUUUGCAUGUACCUUAUGAAUAAGCAUCGGCUAAUUCCGUGCCAGCAGCCGCGGUAAUACGGGAGAUGCGAGCGUUAUCCGGAUUUAUUGGGUUUAAAGGGUGCGUAGGUUGGUUAUUAAGUCAGCGGUGAAAGUUUGUGGCUCAACCGUAACAUUGCCGUUGAAACUGGCAGACUUGAGUAUGCUUAGGGUAGACGGAAUGCGUGGUGUAGCGGUGAAAUGCUUAGAUAUCACGAAGAACUCCGAUUGCGAAGGCAGCGUACUAAGGCAAGACUGACGCUGAGGCACGAAAGUGUGGGUAUCAAACAGGAUUAGAUACCCCUGUAGUC
rnacentral:rRNA from 1 species